rnacentral:rRNA from 1 species
UAACAAGGUAGCUGUAGGUGAACCUGCUGCUGGAUCAUUAACGACUAUAAACAUCAAUGAUCUCGGCUGGUUGAUAUUGGCUAGCUUGCCGAUAUGUCCCAGCAAAAAACGGUCCCGCUGGUUUCUAUGCGUUCGCCGAGCAGUUGUCUGCCAUCCGUGGCUGCCGUGAAGCGACGUGAUAGCCUCUAUUUGGGGUAGAAUCGAUGAGCACUGGAUAUUGGUGCCGCCAGCAAAACAUUUUCAUUAUCAACACUUUCCUACUUCGGUAGUAAAAAUACUCUAGCCUUAUCGGUGGAUCACUCGGUUCGUAGAUCGAUGAAGAACGCAGCCAAAUGCGAUAAUUAGUGUGAACUGCAGAUAUAUUGAGCACUAAAGUUUCGAAUGCACAUUGCGUCGUUGGAUUUCAUCCUUCGACAUAUCUGGUUCAGGGUCGUUAAUAGAAAACAACUUCAAUGUUGGUUCUAGUCGAAUCGCGCUAGCCACGCGUUUUGAUAUUUUGGAAUAGUGUCCGCUGGUAUGUGGGGUUAGUAGCUUGUCCGUCGACUUAGGAUAGCUAUUUCCAUCUACCGUCCAGUCGGCUCGAUUCUCCGACCUGAACUCAGGUAUGAGUACCUGCUGAACUUAAGCAUAUCAGUA